AAGAAAAACCGAAAUAAAACUAAUACUAACUCCAAAUUUGUAGAACAUAUUGGCGUUCCAAAAGGCCGGCGAAGGUUUCCCUUCAAGCUCCUUCCUUAUCGGAAACCUGCCGGCUGCAGCCACCACUCUCGUUUCACAUUUGUUUUAGUUUCCUCCAUCGCCAUGCUUCACCUCUGAGUUUUCUCCAACCUCCUCCCUCUAGAUUUCUCUCUAAACUCUCCAAUCUUCUCCACUCUCGUUUCACAUAGAUUUCUCUCUAUUCGCUACAAGUCAUUGAUGCUUUCGAGGUUUGCACCAAUGCGAUUGACUCACUGGAACUGGUCAAACAAUACUCAUUUUCGGCCACGGGCGGUGACAGCAGCAUUCACGCACCAGCUGAGCGCAUGCAUUUCAUUCUGUUCCUCAAUUGAAGGU
rnacentral:lncRNA from 1 species